rnacentral:rRNA from 1 species
CACGUAGGGCGCAAGCGUUGUCCGGAAUUAUUGGGCGUAAAGAGCUCGUAGGCGGUCUGUUGCGUCUGCUGUGAAACUCGGGGCUUAACCCCGAGCCUGCAGUGGAUACGGGCAGACUAGAGGUAGGUAGGGGAGAAUGGAAUUCCCGGUGUAGCGGUGAAAUGCGCAGAUAUCGGGAGGAACACCGGUGGCGAAGGCGGUUCUCUGGGCCUUACCUGACGCUGAGGAGCGAAAGCGUGGGAGCGAACAGG